GCUACAGGAAUCCUAGCACCCAGACUCCAGUGAUACGACGUCACUGAUUGGAUACUUCUCAUCAGCUGAUAAAUGGUGCCCAAAAUACGUGUACAUCGAAUCAAUUUGCAGACGAUUUGUGUAGUAGUGUUAAAUGAUUGUGUAUUUCUUACCAAAACUUAAGGCUGUUUUUUUAUUUUUGAAAAAUACCCAUUACAGUUAGACUCAUUCAUAUCAGAGUCUGAUACAAUAGUAUAGUGCAUAUGAAAUACACAUUUUUUCCUUAUAAUGGUUUAACUGACUAGAAUAUGAAAGAAAGUGACAUUGUGACACAAACUCAUUCAUUAGACAUUGCUAACGGAUCAUAUUGUUUUUUAUAACAAUAAUUAACGUAUCCUUUUUUCACAUCAUGUUUGUUUAUAAGCACGUGGAAUAGCCGGUGACGAUAUCAACGCACUUUGAAAAAAAAAAUUUCAAAGUGUGUUGACUUGGUUCCAAAAUUAACACACUUUUCAAGUGAAAAAUUUUUUCAAAGUGCUUUGUAACACUGCUUGCUAUGACGUUUAAUCCCAAAAGCAUUGACAGUGCCACUCGUCAAAAGUGAUGCUUUGCUAACGUGUUUCAUAUAAAGACUAUGUUGCUCAACUCAAUUUAAGGGAAAACGGCACAACUCCACUCACGACCUCUUUUACCAGCUGUGGUCAAGUUAUUAAAAAGUUCUGACUGAAAUGAAAACCAAUACCUGUCAUAAAAUAAUAAACUGUACGUGUGUAUUUAUUUUGAUUAAAUGAUAUACUUUUACAUAAUGUUGAUUACGUUUUUGUAUGUAUUUUUUUAAAUAAAAAAAGUCAACUUU
rnacentral:misc_RNA from 1 species